rnacentral:rRNA from 1 species
UACGUAGGUCGCAAGCGUUGUCCGGAUUUACUGGGCGUAAAGAGCGCGCAGGCGGCUGGUCAAGUCCGAUGUGAAAUCUCCCGGCUCAACUGGGAAACUGCAUCGGAAACUGAUCGGCUUGAAGAUGGGAGAGGGUAGUGGAAUUCCCGGUGUAGUGGUGAAAUGCGUAGAUAUCAGGAAGAACACCGAUGGCGAAAAGCAGCUCUCUGGGACGGUACUGACGCUGAGGCGCG